AGUCUGGUAGCUCAGCCGGUAGAGUGUGCGCUGUACAAAAGCGUAGGCGGCGUCCAUGCGUGGGUUAGAGUCCCGCCGAGGCUG
rnacentral:tRNA from 1 species